GACGAACGCUGGCGGCGUGCUUAACACAUGCAAGUCGAACGGAAAGGCCCUGCUUUUGUGGGGUGCUCGAGUGGCGAACGGGUGAGUAACACGUGAGUAACCUGCCCUUGACUUUGGGAUAACUUCAGGAAACUGGGGCUAAUACCGGAUAGGAGCUCCGGCUCCAUGGUGGGGGUGGGAAAGUUUCGGCGGUUGGGGAUGGACUCGCGGCUUAUCAGCUUGUUGGUGGGGUAGUGGCUUACCAAGGCUUUGACGGGUAGCCGGCCUGAGAGGGUGACCGGCCACAUUGGGACUGAGAUACGGCCCAGACUCCUACGGGAGGCAGCAGUGGGGAAUAUUGCACAAUGGGCGGAAGCCUGAUGCAGCAACGCCGCGUGCGGGAUGACGGCCUUCGGGUUGUAAACCGCUUUCGCCUGUGACGAAGCGUGAGUGACGGUAAUGGGUAAAGAAGCACCGGCUAACUACGUG
rnacentral:rRNA from 1 species